UACGGGGGGGGUAAGCGUUGUUCGGAAUUACUGGGCGUAAAGGGCUCGUAGGCGGCCAACUAAGUCAUACGUGAAAUCCCUCAGCUUAACUGGGGAACUGCGUGUGAUACUGGAUGGCUUGGAUUUGGGAGAGGGAUGCGGAAUUCCAGGUGUAGCGGUGAAAUGCGUAGAGAUCGGGAAGAACAUCAGUGGCGAAGGCGGCCUGCUGGGCUGUUGCUGACGCUGAGGCGCGACAGCGUGGGGAGCAAACAGG
rnacentral:rRNA from 1 species